rnacentral:rRNA from 1 species
CUACGUGCCAGCAGCCGCGGUAAUACGGAAGGUUCGGGCGUUAUCCGGAUUUAUUGGGUUUAAAGGGAGCGUAGGCCGGAGAUUAAGUGUGUUGUGAAAUGUAGACGCUCAACGUCUGACUUGCAGCGCAUACUGGUUUCCUUGAGUACGCACAACGUUGGCGGAAUUCGUCGUGUAGCGGUGAAAUGCUUAGAUAUGACGAAGAACUCCGAUUGCGAAGGCAGCUGACGGGAGCGCAACUGACGCUUAAGCUCGAAGGUGCGGGUAUCGAACAGGAUUAGAUACCCUGGUAGUCCGCACAGUAAACGAUGGAUGCUCGCUGUUGGUACCUGGUAUCAGCGGCUAAGCGAAAGCAUUAAGCAUCCCACCUGGGGAGUACGCCGGCAACGGUGAAACUCAAAGGAAUUGACGGGGGCCCGCACAAGCGGAGGAACAUGUGGUUUAAUUCGAUGAUACGCGAGGAACCUUACCCGGGCUUGAA